UAUAUUUGAGCGAUUGAGAUAGGACCUAUGAACAUGUUUUCAUAUUCCAUAUAAUUGAAUACAAUUGUCUAGAAUUUUAAAGUUUAUUAUUGCCAGACUGAUUGACCAAUCAUUACGUUUCUGAAGCUCCAUGUUUUUUAACUGGUAUAGGAAAACAUCUGCUGUAUGGUCACUCCUGUGUACUUCAGCAACAAAGGCACACAGCAUUCAAGACUGGUAGACCCUGACUAUCAGCACUUCAGGAGGCAUGAGCAGCCAGGAACCUCUUGGUGUAAGUUACAGUGUCAAGAAGUUACAUAAUAAAUAUCCAGCUUUUGGAAUGUGGUUCUGAGUGACGAGCCUGAGACAUGGCUGAGGUUGGUGUAGUGAAGGGAGUAGCUACCAGAUGUUUCGAGAGAGCCAAGGCCAGAUCCAC
rnacentral:lncRNA from 1 species